GCUGAACUUAAGCAUAUCACUAAGCGG
rnacentral:rRNA from 1 species